GAUGAACGCUAGCGAUAGGCCUAACACAUGCAAGUCGAGGGGCAUCACAUGAAGUAGCAAUACGGAUGGUGGCGACCGGCGCACGGGUGAGUAACACGUAUGCAACCUGCCUUCAACAAGGGGAUAACCCGUUGAAAGACGGACUAAUACCCUAUAACACAGGGGUCCCGCAUGGGAGUAUUUGUUAAAGGACAACCGGUUGAAGAUGGGCAUGCGUUCCAUUAGCUAGUUGGCGGGGUAACGGCCCACCAAGGCAACGAUGGAUAGGGGAACUGAGAGGUUUAUCCCCCACACUGGUACUGAGACACGGACCAGACUCCUACGGGAGGCAGCAGUGAGGAAUUUUGGACAAUAGGGGCAACCCUGAUCCAGCCAUGCCGCGUGAAGGAUGAAGGCUUUCGGGUUGUAAACUUCUUUGAUUGGGGAAGAAGAUGACGGUACCCAAGGAACAAGCCACGGCUAAC
rnacentral:rRNA from 1 species